rnacentral:pre_miRNA from 1 species
UCUUACGGAUAAGCAAAGAGAGUGGUUUUCUGAGAAGGAAUCUACUAAUGGUGAAGAUGCUGUGAA